GGGGAGCUCCCCCUGCAUUUAGAGCAGGAUGCUGCAGUGCUGUUUGAAGAGUGUUGCUCUGCAAGCCGAGAGAGAGAUUGCUUUUAAUGCCAUAGCUCCGAAGCUUUUUUUGGCCUCGAAAGUGGAGCCAGU
rnacentral:lncRNA from 12 species